rnacentral:lncRNA from 1 species
UUUGGGUGAGUAGGAAUCAGAAGAUUUUGGAUUGGCUAUUGUAUGAAUCGUCUGCUAUUAUAUGUCUCCAGGAGUUCUGGGUUGGAAAUUAAGAAUUUGUGAAUAUGUACCUGAAGAGGCUUGGUGAUGCUGGCUAUAGUACCUUCAAGCUUGCCCGAACUAACAACCGUGGAGAUGCUUUCAACUACUGAAUAGGAGCGAACAAGUCUCAAUAUCCAAUUUACAAAAGAAGUCUUA